UACGUAGGGCGCAAGCGUUGUCCGGAAUUAUUGGGCGUAAAGAGCUCGUAGGCGGCCUGUUGCGUCCGCUGUGAAAUCCCGGGGCUCAACCCCGGGCCUGCAGUGGAUACGGGCUGGCUAGAGGCAGGCAGGGGAGAACGGAAUUCCUGGUGUAGCGGUGAAAUGCGCAGAUAUCAGGAGGAACACCGGUGGCGAAGGCGGUUCUCUGGGCCUGUACUGACGCUGGAGGAGCGAAAGCGUGGGGAGCAAACAGG
rnacentral:rRNA from 1 species